GGGGAUUCAAAAAUAGUUCGUGUAUUUUAUUAGCAAAUGAAAAAUAAUUUGUGUAUUUAAAAAAAAAAUAUUUUCAAAAUUUAAACACGUGUUAAUUAAACACUAACGCUGUCGUCACUGCCGUUAAAUAUAGUUAACGCCGUCUAAAACUACGUAUAAAACCUGCGAAUUUCAAAAGUUUGUAUAUUUAAUAGCCAACUAAAAUUAGUUCGUGUAUUAAAUGAGAAUCCAAAAUAGUU
rnacentral:lncRNA from 1 species